rnacentral:rRNA from 1 species
AGAGUUUGAUCCUGGCUCAGGACGAACGCUGGCGGCGUGCCUAACACAUGCAAGUCGAACGGAGUUAACCGCUGAAUUGACACUAGCUUGCUAGAAGAUUUUCUUGGUUAACUUAGUGGCGGACGGGUGAGUAACGCGUGAGGAACCUGCCCUUCAGAGGGGGACAACAGUUGGAAACGACUGCUAAUACCGCAUAACGUACAGAUGGGACAUCCCGACUGUACCAAAGGAGCAAUCCGCUGAAGGAUGGCCUCGCGUCUGAUUAGAUAGUUGGUGAGGUAACGGCUCACCAAGUCGACGAUCAGUAGCCGGACUGAGAGGUUGAACGGCCACAUUGGGACUGAGACACGGCCCAGACUCCUACGGGAGGCAGCAGUGGGGGAUAUUGCACAAUGGGGGAAACCCUGAUGCAGCAACGCCGCGUGAGGGAAGAAGGUUUUCGGAUUGUAAACCUCUGUUUUUAGUGAAGAAUAAUGACGGUAGCUAAAGAGGAAGCCACGGCUAACUACGUGCCAGCAGCCGCGGUAAUACGUAGGUGGCAAACGUUGUCCGGAAUUACUGGGUGUAAAGGGUGCGCAGGCGGGACUGCAAGUUGGAUGUGAAAUACCGAGGCUCAACCUCGGAGCUGCAUCCAAAACUGUAGUUCUUGAGUGAAGUAGAGGUAAGCGGAAUUCCGAGUGUAGCGGUGGAAUGCGUAGAUAUUCGGAGGAACACCAGUGGCGAAGGCGGCUUACUGGGCUUUAACUGACGCUGAGGCACGAAAGCAUGGGGAGCAAACAGGAUUAGAUACCCUGGUAGUCCAUGCCGUAAACGAUGAAUGCUAGGUGUGGGGGGACUGACCCCUUCCGUGCCCGAGUAAACACAAUAA